rnacentral:misc_RNA from 1 species
GAAAUGCGAUAAGUAGUGUGAAUUGCAGAAUUCAGUGAAUCAUCGAAUCUUUGAACGCACAUUGCGCCCCUUGGUAUUCCAUGGGGCAUGCCUGUUCGAGCGUCAUUUGUACCUUCAAGCUUUGCUUGGUGUUGGGUGUUUGUCUCGCUUCUGCGUGCAGACUCGCCUCAAAACAAUUGGCAGCCGGCGUAUUGAUUUCGGAGCGCAGUACAUCUCGCGCUUUGCACUCAUAACGACGACGUCCAAAAGUACAUUUUUACACUCUUGACCUCGGAUCAGGUAGGGAUACCCGCUGAACUUAAGC